GUGCCAGCAGCCGCGGUAAUACAGAGGGUGCAAGCGUUAAUCGGAUUUACUGGGCGUAAAGCGUACGUAGGCGGCUAAUUAAGUCGGAUGUGAAAUCCCCGAGCUCAACUUGGGAAUUGCAUUCGAUACUGGUUAGCUAGAGUAUGGGAGAGGAUGGUAGAAUUCCAGGUGUAGCGGUGAAAUGCGUAGAGAUCUGGAGGAAUACCGAUGGCGAAGGCAGCCAUCUGGCCUAAUACUGACGCUGAGGUACGAAAGCAUGGGGAGCAAACAGGAUUAGAAAC
rnacentral:rRNA from 1 species